rnacentral:lncRNA from 1 species
AUGCGCCGCUUGCUGUUUCUAGUUUUUCGGUUUGGUUUUCUUUUCAGUAGUCUCCCCAAAGGCUGUUGUGGGCACGAUGUGUAUCUUUUCUGUUCUUCCAGGAUUCAUUUGUCAGGAAAGACGACCGUGAAAUCUAAGGGCUGUGGACAACCAUCUGCCAGCUGGUUGUUGCAGACGCCUUCGGUCAUGUUAUUUGUCCUUUUAGCUUGCCCUUUACUAUCUGGAGUUGAUUUUUUUUUGCAGCGCUAUGUUUAUAGUGGUAACAUUGCUGCCAAGAUGUUUUUGACUAAAAAUGAUCUUAACUGUAGUAGUGAAUUCACAGUGUGGCUUUGUGUAAUGACUCCCAUGAUCACAACUUUUUUUUUUCCCUUUGUCACGGAUAGGAGAAAAGCUCUUUCCAGAGAGAUGGAGAAGGAAGGAAUUAUACCUCUGUCUCAUCCUGUGAGACCAGAAGACGCAACAAGGACACAGGUUCUUUGGAUCGCCGGCGAUAAAUUCACUGUCCGCGAAAGCAAGCGAGCACGCAUGAAAUACACAGGCAAUUACUCCACAACUGCCCAAAGCAGCGAUAGUGAGAAGCCCACUUCCACCAUCCCCUCCCCACGUAGGGACGGACAGACGGAUGCCGCUCUUUGCCUUGCCCGCCAGGGGAAGGGGAGAACGACCGGGCAGGGAGCCCCACCGCAGCCCCCCGCCCGGGAGUCCUGCACAGCAGUUUAAUAAAGUUUGCUUUCUGGCCCAUUACCCCUUUGGUGGUUGCCAUCCCGGGAAGUGGCUGUCGCUGUCUGUGUGUGGGUGCAGGUUCGGUAGCGGGGUGGGUGUGGAGUGGGCAGGGGCCGGGGGAGGGGUGGCCCCGUGUCUGUCGGCCGCUGGAUGCUGACGACCCAUCGGAGUGUGGGGCCAGCCCUGCCGGGUGGGGGGGCAGCUGUCUAUUGUGGGACGGGGAGGGCAGCUCGCUGCUGUCUUUGCUCCCCGGGCUGGGGGGACUGCCCUGUGUGGCGGGGGCUGCUUGCACAGGUGCAAGUGGGGAGGGGGCUGGGCGUUCCUGGCAGGACCCCCAGGGCAGGGGAUGGCGUUGUGGAGGCCGGGUCCCGUGGGAUUGGCGGCUGGGACAGGGAAAGCCCAGGCGGGGAUGGCACGGGGUGGCAGGCACAGG